GAUGAACGCUGGCGGCGUGCCUAACACAUGCAAGUCGAACGGACUUUUAAUGAAGCCUAGCGAUUUAAAGUUAGUGGCGGACGGGUGAGUAACGCGUGGGUAACCUGCCUCAUACAGGGGGAUAACACUUAGAAAUAGGUGCUAAUACCGCAUAAGCGCACGGAAUCGCAUGAUUUUGUGUGAAAAACUCCGGUGGUAUGAGAUGGACCCGCGUCUGAUUAGAUAGUUGGUGGGGUAACGGCCUACCAAGUCGACGAUCAGUAGCCGGACUGAGAGGUUGAUCGGCCACAUUGGGACUGAGACACGGCCCAGACUCCUACGGGAGGCAGCAGUGGGAAUAUUGCACAAUGGGCGAAAGCCUGAUGCAGCAACGCCGCGUGAGGGAAGACGGUCUUCGGAUUGUAAACCUCUGUCUUUGGUGAAGAAGAAAGUGACGGUAACCAAGGAGGAAGCCAACGGCUAACUACGUG
rnacentral:rRNA from 1 species